GAAUCAAAAUGCACUAAAUAAAAUUUUUAAUUUCAAAUUUUCAUCCCGCGUGGUAAUAUGUGACCGACUCGUAGAGCCACCUGCAGUUUGAUUUACAAGUCAAACGAUGAUGGCGACGCGCGAGCGGGUGACACAUUUCUCGCAUUUCUCGUGAUGCACUGCGCGAUUAAUAAUAUACACAAUAAUAAAAUUUAAAUUUACAGUAUCUACAUUUUAGAGUAUAUAAAGUUAUAUUAAUUGAAACUAUAAAAAAAUAAGUCAAUAUGUGAUUAAAGUGAGAGUGAAAUUAGUAAUUAAUAUAUUUUGGGUGAAAUUGGAUUAAAAUUUGUUAAAUAAUCAUUACAACAUUAUCAAGAAUACAUUCUUUAUUAUCUUGAUGACAGCAAAAAUUAUUAUUAUUAUUAUUAAUAUUAUGCUAUUUAAAUCUACAAAUCUAUGUUUGUUUACUUUGCUGUGAUUAUUUGAGGGUUUUUUUUUGACAUUUUAUGUCACAAUUUUGUCGUGUGGCAAUUCAAUCUCUGGGUCCUAAAAGGGUCAUGCGGGUGCUGCCAGUAGUAUGUAAAAAAAAAAAAAAAAAAAAAAAAAAAUAAACAAUAUAAAUAUAUA